rnacentral:lncRNA from 1 species
UCUCUUUCUCCUGCCCUUGGGGAUCGGAACUCCAGGUUCUCUGGUCUUGGGACUCCAGGGCUCGCGCCACAGCCCCAGUUUCUCAGGUUUAGCCUCAGACAGAGUCACGCCAUCGGCCUUGCUGGUGCUGGGGCCUUCCGAUUUGCUUGGCGCGUUCCACGCCAGCUUCCCCGGGUCCCCAGCGCGCAGACGGCCUCUGCUGGGGCGUCUCAGCCUCCACAGUCAUGCGAGCCCAUCCCCUGAUCAGUCUCUUCUCGUGUAUUUGGCAACGAUCUAUUUCUAGUUCCAGAUUCAUAUCUAGAUCCUUCGUUUUAUCCUCUGGAGAACCCCGACUAACACAAAAGGCAGGAGCCCGUCCGUGAAGCGUCGUUUCCUCUUAGCAGCAGCGUCAGCCGACGGGUGGGCCGGGGCUGGAAUGCUUGUCCCUCCAAAACUCACGCUGGCGUGUGUGAUCGUCACUCCAGUCGUAACAGCACUAAGAGCUGGGGCUGUGACGAGGUGAUUAGGCCAUAAAGCUUCUGCCCUCGUGGGUAGGUUUAGUGCUUUUACAAAGGGCUUUCAGGACUGGGUUCUUGUCUCACCCUCUCACCUUCCACAACAGGAGGACGCACACAGAAGGCCCUCACCGGAUGCCAGCACCUUGAUGUUAAACUUCCCAGACUCCAGAACUGUGCAAAACACGUUUCUGUUCAUCACGAAUUACCCAGUUCCGGGUGUUCUGUUACAGCAGCAGAGAACAGACGGAGGCAGAGGGAAAGCUGGUCGCCGAUUCUCCUUCUGUGAGGCCGUGAGCUCUGUGGAUGGGUGUCUCAGGGGAGAAUCGGGUCCUUCAGUUUGGGAGCCCUGAGUGGAGAGAGCAGCAAGAAGGGGCCAAGCAGGUGCUGUCCCCGGGACUCCUGGUGACUGAGAGGCCAGCAGGAAAGAGAAGACGCCGCAGGAGCCACAGAUGGGAAUCAAAGGAAGCAAGUGAGGCUCACCCGGUGACCUGGAUUCCAGAGGCCUGGCCCCCAGAUGUGCUGAGAGUAGAGGGAGACGCACCCUAACACGGCAGGGGAGAUUCCUGAAGGCAUCGCUGUCCACGGCUUCCGCUCAGUGUCACUUACCGUAAGUCUGGAGGAGGGAGGUAACUAUGGCUCAGCAAUAGCUCUGCAGCCAGCGGCAGAAUGCUUUGCAAAACCCAGCAAAGCUUUGUGAAUAAAUGUCA